rnacentral:lncRNA from 1 species
GGGGUCUUCCGGAGCCUCCGGUCGCGGGUCUAAGAGGACUAGGGCGGGAGCGGCGCGGAAGAAAGAGAGGACUGCGUUUUGGGGCGUUCUGUCAGAGGGGAAGGACGUGUGGAUUGGAGUCAGACUGCACUCCCGCCCUAUUUCUGCAAGUAGAACUCACUGCCUUUAGAAACGGUCUUCUGAGGCUCUGUUGGGAGGCUCUAACUGUAUUACAGAGGACACAUUUUUGUUUGUUUUUAUGUGAAACAUUCAGAAGUUGCUUGCAUCAAGUGCUUUACAAGUACACUGGUUUUCAAACUUUUAAAGUUGAGGAACUGUUUUGAUUUUUGUAAAAAUAGAACUUUACUUGGAAGCCCAAGGUAGGCAGAUGGAGAUGGCGUUUUUAAUUUGCGAAUGUAUUCUAUAAAAUCACAUCUGUACUGAAGUACUAGAAAUAAUUGAGGAUAAGUCAGAUGUGAAGAGCAAGAACUUUUGAAAUAGGAUUACAACUGAAGGUUUCCAUCUUACAUUAGCUUCAGAAAACAAGAAAAUGCUAUCUUUUGUUUGGUUACAUAGUAACAGGAAGUCCUUAUUCAAGCUAGAACUUGCUGAUGUGAACAGUUUCAUAAGGGCUCUCCUUAAAAAGAUUUUGUACACCAAUUUUAAUUGGGAAAUAUACAUAUGAGUAUAUCUCAUGUGCAUAUCUUAAAGAAGAAUGAAAAAUGCCCAGGUACCCACUACAGAGCUUAAGAAAAAAAAAAUGCCAGUAUUUUUGGAGUCUUCUAGAAAGAAGACUCUCUAAAAACAUCUCCUUCCUUCCGUUCACCAUUAUGCUGAAUUUUAUAUUACUCAUUCCGUUGUAUUUCUGAAAAUAGUUACAUAUGUACGAUUCCCUAAAAAUACUAUUUUCCUAGUUUUAUAUUUCAUAUGUGAAUCAUUCUUCAUUUUUCCCCUUUUUUCACUAAUUUAGGUUUUGAGAGGUUUUGAGAUUCGUCUGUAUACAAGUCCAUUUCCCAUAAACUAGACUGGCACAUCGUUACCCUUAUGCUAUUGUUAGACUUUUUAAGUUUUUGCUGAUAAGAGCAUCUGAUUGCUCUUUUAAUUUGCAUUUUCCCUUUUGCUAAAGCCUGUUCUUAAUUUUAUCUCAUUUUUUAUUAAAUUGCUUGCUUUUGAAAAUUAUUUUGUAGAUAAUAUUUAUUUUUUCUAGUUUAAUUCUCUCUUGUAAGUUACAUGUGUUGCAAAUGUCUUCUCUUAGUUUAUGGACUGUCUUUCCAGUUUUUAUGAUGUUUCUUGAUUGCCAAAAGCUUUAUGCUUCAGUAUACAGCUUUUUGAAUUUAAUAAUAUUUUACAUUUUAAUUUUGUGCUUUUUGCUUUCUUGCUUACAAGAUUCUUCCCAACAUAACAUCAGAAACUAUUCUUUCUUCUACAAGUUUAAAAGUUUAAUUGUAGCAACUUUAAACACAGAAAGGACAAAUAAUAAUAUAAUGAACACCCAUGCACUCAACUCUAUGUAUUAAAACAUUUUGCAAACCCCUCCUCCUAAUGAUUCUUGUCUAAAAUUGCCUUAACUAUACUUGGCUCUUUACUCUUUCAUUGAAAUUUUAGGAUGAGCCAGCCAAGAUCCAUUUAAAAAAUUGGAUUUCAAUUGGGCAUUUUAUUCAACUUGAGAAUUGCAUUUAGAGAUUUAGUGAAAUGUCUUCUUAUCUAUGAACAUGGUAUAUUUAUUUUAUUCAGGUACUUUAUGUGCUACUAUGCUUUGUAAUUUAUUGAGUAUCUUUCAUUAUAUUGCCUCCUAGUUUUAUUACUAAAAUUAGAGAUCUCUCUCUUUAAACUCUAUUUUCUAAUUGUUUAGUAACAUUGUAUUAAAAGAGCAUCAAUUUCAAUAUAUUGGUACUAUCUCCAGAAGCUUCGCUGAAUUUUUUUGAUUGCUUGCUUUAUUUCCCUGUUACAUCUUUGGAUGACCUAUAUAGGUAAUCAUAUCAUUUGUAAAUAAGAAUAAUGGUUUCCUUCUUUCUCUCUUUUCAAACCACUUAUUAUUCAGUUUUUUCUUUUAUUUAUUAACAGAGCAUCCAGUGCAAUGUUUAAUGGAAGUAAUAAUGGCAUUCUUGUCCCAUUCCUCACUUUACUGCAAUACUGCUAACAUUUUAUAAUGAUAACAAUGUUUGCUGUGGGUUUUUGGUAAAUACUUUAUCAAGAUUAUUAAGUGUUCUGUUUCCAGUUCAUAAUGUAUUGUUGUUUGCUUUUUUUUAACCAUGAGUGACAGUUUAAUUGAUUAAAUGCUUUUUCUGCACCUAUUGAGAU